AGAGAGGUUAAUGGGAUAGAGAGAUGGAGAGAAGGAGAGAGGUUAAUGGGAUGGAGAGAUGGAAAGAUGAGGAGAGAAAGAGAGAGGUUAAUGGGAUGGAGAGAUGGAGAGAAGGAGAGAGGUUAAUGGGAUAGAGAGAUGGAGAGAAGGAGAGAGGUUAAUGGGAUAGAGAGAUGGAAAGAUGAGGAGAGAAAGAGAGAGGUUAAUGGGAUAGAGAGAUGGAGAGAAGGAGAGAGGUUAAUGGGAUAGAGAGAUGGAAAGAUGAGGAGAGAAAGAGAGAGGUUAAUGGGAUAGAGAGAUGGAGAGAAGGAGAGAGGUUAAUGGGAUAGAGAGAUGGAGAGAAGGAGAGAGGUUAAUGGGAUAGAGAGAUGGAGAGAAGGAGAGAGGUUAAUGGGAUAGAGAGAUGGAGAGAAGGAGAGAGGUUAAUGGGAUAGAGAGAUGGAAAGAUGAGGAGAGAAAGAGAGAGUUUAAUGGGAUAGAGAGAUGGAGAGAAGGAGAGAGGUUAAUGGGAUAGAGAGAGGGAGAGAAGGAGAGAGGUUAAUGGGAUAGAGAGAUGGAAAGAAGGAGAGAGGUUAAUGGGAUGGAGAGAUGGAGAGAGGUUAAUGGGAUGGAGAGAAGGAAAGAGGUUAAUGGGAUGGAGAGAAGGGAAAAUGAGGAGAGAAAGAGAGAGGUUCAUGGGAUGGAGAGAAGGAGAGAAGGAGAGAAGGAGAGAGGAUAAUGGGAUGGAGAGAUGGGAAAAUGAGGAGAGAAAGAGAGAGGUUAAUGGGAUAGAGAGAUGGGAAAAUGAGGAGAGAAAGAGAGAGGUUAAUGGGAUGGAGAGAAGGAGAGAAGGAGAGAGGUUAAUGGGAUGGAGAGAUGGGAAAAUGAGGAGAGAAAGAGAGAGGUUAAUGGGAUGGAGAGAAGGAGAGAGGUUAAAGAGAUGAAGAGAAGGAGAGAGGUUAAUGGGAUGGAGAGAUGAAGAGAAGGAGAGAGGUUAAUGGGAUGGAGAGAUGGAGAGAAGGAGAGAGGUUAAUGGGAUGGAGAGAUGGAGAGAAGGAGAGAGGUUAAAGAGAUGAAGAGAAGGAGAGAGGUUAAUGGGAUGGAGAGAUGAAGAGAAGGAGAGAGGUUAAAAGAUGGCGACAUUAGGAAAGAAGUAGAGACGGAGACAAGAGGAAAGAAGGAGAGACGGAGACAAGAGGAAAGGAGGAGAGACGGAGACAAGAGGAAAGAAGGAGAGACGGAGACAAGAGGAAAGAAGGAGAGACGGAGACAAGAGGAAAGAAGGAGAGACGGAGACAAGAGGAAAGAAGGAGAGACGGAGACAAGAGGAAAGAAGGAGAGACGGAGACAAGAGGAAAGAAGGAGAGACGGAGACAAGAGGAAAGGAGGAGAGACGGAGACAAGAGGAAAGGAGGAGAGACGGAGACAAGAGGAAAGGAGGAGAGACGGAGACAAGAGGAAAGAAGGAGAGACGGAGACAAGAGGAAAGAAGUAGAGACGGAGACAAGAGGAAAGGAGGAGAGACGGAGACAAGAGGAAAAGAGGAGAGACGGAGACAAGAGGAAAGGAGGAGAGACGGAGACAAGAGGAAAGGAGGAGAGACGGAGACAAGAGGAAAGGAGGAGAGACGGAGACAAGAGGAAAGAAGGAGAGACGGAGACAAGAGGAAAGAAGUAGAGACGGAGACAAGAGGAAAGGAGGAGAGACGGAGACAAGAGGAAAGGAGGAGAGAUGGAGACAAGAGGAAAGGAGGAGAGACGGAGACAAGAGGAAAGGA